GUGCUCACUUCAGCAACACAUGUACUAAAAUUGGAACAAUACAGAAAAGGUUAGCAUGGCCUCUGCACAACGAUGACGCCCAAAUUCGUGAAGCGUUCCAUUAAAAA